rnacentral:rRNA from 1 species
AGUGAACGCUGGCGGUAGGCCUAACACAUGCAAGUCGAACGGCAGCACAGUAAGAGCUUGCUCUUACGGGUGGCGAGUGGCGGACGGGUGAGGAAUACAUCGGAAUCUACUUUUUCGUGGGGGAUAACGUAGGGAAACUUACGCUAAUACCGCAUACGACCUACGGGUGAAAGCAGGGGAUCUUCGGACCUUGCGCGAUUGAAUGAGCCGAUGUCGGAUUAGCUAGUUGGCGGGGUAAAGGCCCACCAAGGUGACGAUCCGUAGCUGGUCUGAGAGGAUGAUCAGCCACACUGGAACUGAGACACGGUCCAGACUACUACGGGAGGCAGCAGUGGGGAAUAUUGGACAAUGGGCGCAAGCCUGAUCCAGCCAUACCGCGUGGGUGAAGAAGGCCUUCGGGUUGUAAAGCCCUUUUGUUGGGAAAGAAAAGCAGCAGGUUAAUACCCCGCUGUUCUGACGGUACCCAAAGAAUAAGCACCGGCUAACUUCGUG